AUUGAACGCUGGCGGCAUGCCUUACACAUGCAAGUCGAACGGCAGCACGGGGCAACCUGGUGGCGAGUGGCGAACGGGUGAGUAAUGUAUCGGAACGUGCCAUUGAGUGGGGGAUAACGUAGCGAAAGUUACGCUAAUACCGCAUAUACCCUGAGGGAGAUAGCAGGGGAUCGCAAGACCAUGUGCUCUUUGAGCGGCCGAUAUCAGAUUAGCUAGUUGGUGAGGUAAAGGCUCACCAAGGCGACGAUCUGUAGCGGGUCUGAGAGGAUGAUCCGCCACACUGGGACUGAGACACGGCCCAGACUCCUACGGGAGGCAGCAGUGGGGAAUUUUGGACAAUGGGCGCAAGCCUGAUCCAGCCAUGCCGCGUGAGUGAAGAAGGCCUUCGGGUUGUAAAGCUCUUUCGGCCGGGAAGAAAUCGUACAGGUUAAUACCCUGUGUGGAUGACGGUACCGGAAUAAGAAGCACCGGCUAACUACGUGCCAGCCGCCGCAGUAAUAC
rnacentral:rRNA from 1 species